rnacentral:rRNA from 1 species
UACGGGGGGAGCAAGCGUUGUUCGGAUUUACUGGGCGUAAAGGGCGCGUAGGCGGCUUGGCAAGUGGAAGGUGAAAUCCCUCGGCUCAACUGAGGAACUGCCCUCCAAACUGCUUUGCUUGAGGCCGGGAGAGGCGAGUGGAAUUCCCAGUGUAGCGGUGAAAUGCGUAGAUAUUGGGAGGAACACCAGUGGCGAAGGCGGCUCGCUGGACCGGUUCUGACGCUGAUGCGCGAAAGCGUGGGGAGCAAACGGG